UACAUGGGGUGCAAACGUUGCUCGGAAUUAUUGGGCGUAAAGCGCGCGUAGGCGGUUACUCAAGUCGGAUGUGAAAGCCCUCGGCUUAACUGAGGAAGUGCACCCGAAACUGAGUAGCUAGAGUACUAAAGAGGGUCGCGGAAUUCCCGGUGUAGAGGUGAAAUUCGUAGAUAUCGGGAGGAACACCGGUGGCGAAGGCGGCGACCUGGGUAGAUACUGACGCUGAGGCGCGAAAGCGUGGGGAGCAAAC
rnacentral:rRNA from 1 species